GACGAACGCUGGCGGCGUGCUUAACACAUGCAAGUCGAACGGAAAGGCCCUGCUUUUGUGGGGUGCUCGAGUGGCGAACGGGUGAGUAACACGUGAGUAACCUGCCCUUGACUUUGGGAUAACUUCAGGAAACUGGGGCUAAUACCGGAUAGGAGCUCCUGCUGCAUGGUGGGGGUUGGAAAGUUUCGGCGGUUGGGGAUGGACUCGCGGCUUAUCAGCUUGUUGGUGGGGUAGUGGCUUACCAAGGCUUUGACGGGUAGCCGGCCUGAGAGGGUGACCGGCCACAUUGGGACUGAGAUACGGCCCAGACUCCUACGGGAGGCAGCAGUGGGAAAUAUUGCACAAUGGGCGGAAACCUGAUGCAGCAACGCCGCGUGCGGGAUGACGGCCUUCGGGUUGUAAACCGCUUUCGCCUGUGACGAAGCGUGAGUGACGGUAAUGGGUAAAGAAGCACCGGCUAACUACGUG
rnacentral:rRNA from 1 species